UACGUAGGCGGCCAUAUAAGUCAGAAGUGAAAGGCUACGGCUUAACCGUAGUAAGCUUUUGAAACUGUAUGGCUUGAGUGCAGGAGAGGAAAGCGGAAUUCCUAGUGUAGCGGUGAAAUGCGUAGAUAUUAGGAAGAACACCAGUAGCGAAGGCGGCUUUCUGGACUGAAACUGACGCUGAGGUACGAAAGCGUGGGGAGCGAACAGGAUUAGAUACCCGAGUAGUC
rnacentral:rRNA from 1 species